UACGUAGGGUGCGAGCGUUACUCGGAAUUACUGGGCGUAAAGCGUGCGCAGGCGGUUGGCAAAGUCAGCUGUGAAAGCCCCGGGCUUAACCUGGGAAUGGCGGUUGAAACUAGUCGACUAGAAUCUGGCAGAGGGGGGUGGAAUUCCACGUGUAGCGGUGAAAUGCGUAGAUAUCUGGAGGAACACCGGUGGCGAAGGCGGCGUUCUGGACUGCAACUGACACUGAGGAACGAAAGCCAGGGGAGCAAACGGG
rnacentral:rRNA from 1 species